AACACUUACAGAAAUCAAGCUUGCAAAGCCUUUUCAGACAGUCUGAGUGAAACAUGGAUCAGAACUUCAAACCGUGUUUCUGCAGGAACAUUCAAGAACUUUUCAAGGCAGACCUUUUAAAGUCCAACUGAGCAUGAGAAUCCUGCAGCAUCACUGGGCGAGUUAAAGAGGAGAACAGCGUGUUUCCUCCAGCGGCGAGGCGCUGCAGAUGGUUCUGCUCUUCAGAUCGCGCCGCUUUGAGUUCGGAUGUGAUGGAUGUGGUUUCGGUCGGAGCCACAUCAGUCAGCAGCGAUCUCUGUGACUGGACCCGUGUGUGUGUGUGUGUGUGUGUGUGUGUGUGUGUGUGUGUGUGUGUGUGAGAGAGGAGUCCAUCAGCGCUUAGCGGCGACGCGCGUGGCAGGAAUUACUUACCGAUGUUAACCCGCCACAAUAAAAGCCCGCGCUUGGCGCUCAGUCUGAGGAGCCUCUGGCUCUCAGGAGCCUGAAUGCGCCUUUCAUCAGCUGACUCACCGGCAGCAGCUGCAGGCGGAGGCCCGGGCCGCGGGGGGAACCAGAGGCCCGAUAAGGAGCGGGCUUCCUGGGACGUUUGAGACUCUCAUCAAAGCCGCGGUUCGGAUGUGUGAGAACAAAGUGGAGCCUGAUGAGUAAAAUCCACAUCAAGCUUUUAUUCCGGGCCACAUUUCACUCGGGUUUGAACAGUUGUGAUUUCUUCAUGCUGUCUGCACAUACACUGCAAAAACACAAAAUCUACCAAGUAUUUGUAGUUUAGUUUCUACAAAUAUCUUAGUACACUU